rnacentral:rRNA from 1 species
UGGGGAAUAUUGGACAAUGGGCGCAAGCCUGAUCCAGCCAUGCCGCGUGAGUGAUGAAGGCCUUAGGGUUGUAAUGCUCUUUUGGCGGGGACGAUAAUGACGGUACCCGCAGAAUAAGCCCCGGCUAACUUCGUGCCAGCAGCCGCGGUAAUACGAAGGGGGCUAGCGUUGUUCGGAAUUACUGGGCGUAAAGCGCACGUAGGCGGAUCGGCAAGUCAGGGGUGAAAUCCCGGGGCUCAACCUCGGAACUGCCUCUGAUACUGCAAGUCUUGAGUUCGAGAGAGGUGGGUGGAAUUCCUAGUGUAGAGGUGAAAUUCGUAGAUAUUAGGAAGAACACCGGUGGCGAAGGCGGCCCACUGGCUCGAUACUGACGCUGAGGUGCGAAAGCGUGGGGAGCAAACAGGAUUAGAUACCCCUGUAGUCCCUGAGCGGGCUGGCAAGGCGCAU